AGAGUUUGAUCAUGGCUCAGAUUGAACGCUGGCGGCGUGCCUAACACAUGCAAGUCGAACGCGAAAGGGGGGGCAACUCCCCGAGUAGAGUGGCGUACGGGUGAGUAACGCGUGGGUAAUCUGCCCUCGAGUGGGGAAUAACCUCGCGAAAGCGGGGCUAAUACCGCAUAACAUCCUUCUCUCUUCGGAGGGGGGGAUCAAAGGUGACCUCUGCAUGCAAGUUGUCACUUGAGGAGGAGCCCGCGUCCCAUUAGCUAGUUGGUAGGGUAAUGGCCUACCAAGGCUACGAUGGGUAGCCGGCCUGAGAGGGUGACCGGCCACACUGGAACUGAGACACGGUCCAGACUCCUACGGGAGGCAGCAGUGAGGAAUAUUGCGCAAUGGGCGAAAGCCUGACGCAGCGACGCCGCGUGGAGGAUGAAGGCCUUCGGGUCGUAAACUCCUGUCGAGAGGGAAGAAAUGACGCUUCGUCAAUAGCGAGGAGUCUUGACGGUACCCCUGGAGGAAGCCCCGGCUAACUCCGUGCCAGCAGCCGCGGUAAUACGGAGGGGGCCAGCGUUGCUCGGAAUCACUGGGCGUAAAGGGCUCGUAGGCGGUCUGAUAAGUCCUGUGUGAAAUCCCUUGGCUUAACCAAGGAACUGCGCCGGAUACUGUCGGACUAGAGGCCGGGAGAGGGAAGCGGAAUUCCCAGUGUAGCGGUGAAAUGCGUAGAUAUUGGGAGGAACACCGGUGGCGAAGGC
rnacentral:rRNA from 1 species